rnacentral:rRNA from 1 species
AUUGAACGCUGGCGGCAUGCCUUACACAUGCAAGUCGAACGGCAGCGGGGGAGAAGCUUGCUUUUCCUGCCGGCGAGUGGCGAACGGGUGAGUAAUAUAUCGGAACGUGCCCAGUCGUGGGGGAUAACGCAGCGAAAGCUGUGCUAAUACCGCAUACGAUCUAAGGAUGAAAGCGGGGGAUCGCAAGACCUCGCGCGAUUGGAGCGGCCGAUAUCAGAUUAGCUAGUUGGUGGGGUAAAGGCCCACCAAGGCGACGAUCUGUAGCUGGUCUGAGAGGACGACCAGCCACACUGGAACUGAGACACGGUCCAGACUCCUACGGGAGGCAGCAGUGGGGAAUUUUGGACAAUGGGCGCAAGCCUGAUCCAGCAAUGCCGCGUGCAGGAUGAAGGCCUUCGGGUUGUAAACUGCUUUUGUACGGAACGAAACAGCCCUUUCUAAUACAGGGGGCUAAUGACGGUACCGUAAGAAUAAGCACCGGCUAACUACGUGCCAGCCGCCGCCGUAA